UGAGCAGGACAGGUGAUCGCUGCCAUGCAGACGAAAGGGCAUGGGAGAGGAAAGUCCGGGCUUCGCAGGGCAGGAUGCCAGAUAACGUCUGGCGGAGGCAACUCCCGAGAUAGUGCAACAGAGAUAUACCGCGUUAGCAAUGAGGCGGGUUGGCUAUGGAAUGAUUGUCGGAUGCACGCUUGCGUGCAAGACGACACAUCAUGACAUAGACACACGGCGAAUGCCGUGUAACGAGGAAAGCUUGCUUUCCGAGUCUCGCCUCUUUGAUCCGUAAGGGUGGAAAGGCAGUGUAAGAGACUACCGUGCUGGUGGUAACAUCAGUAGCCAUGUAAACCUCAUCCGAAGCAAGACCGAGAGGAAAGCUAUGAACCGGCCCGGUUCGCUUUCAGGUGGGUCGCUUGAGACUGUCGGUGACGGCAGCCCUAGAUAGAUGAUCACCCCCGACAUAACCCGGCUUACAGUCCUACUCAUAAA
rnacentral:RNase_P_RNA from 1 species